rnacentral:RNase_P_RNA from 1 species
AGGCGGCGGUGGGCAGCUGCCGGUCUGAAUAAGGCUGGAGGAAAGUCCGGACUCCGCAGGGCAGGGAGUCCCUUGAACAAAGGGAUGCCGGGGACCAUAUUCCCCGGAAAGGAAAGUGCAACAGAAAGCAAACCGCCGGAUGCAAAUCCGGUAAGGGUGAAAGGGCAGGGUAAGAGCCUGCCGGGAGUUGAAGUAAUUCUCUCCGUCAAGGUAAACCCCUCCCGGAGCAAGACCAAAUAGGGGGUGAUGCUGCUGCCCGCAGCGUUUGAAUCCCGGGUACUGGUCGCAUUAGACAGAUGGUUGCCGCUCUUGCAAAAGAGUACAGAAUCCGGCUUACAGCCGUCGCCUCUUU